UACGUAGGGGGCAAGCGUUGUCCGGAUUUAUUGGGCGUAAAGAGCGUGUAGGCGGCUAGAUAGGUCCGUUGUGAAAACUCGAGCUCAACCUCGAGACGCCGGUGGAAACCUCUAGCUAGAGUCCGGAAGAGGAGAGUGGAAUUCCUGGUGUAGCGGUGAAAUGACGUAGAUAUCGUAAGGAAGACCAGUGGCGAAGGCGGG
rnacentral:rRNA from 1 species